rnacentral:rRNA from 1 species
AUGAGUCGGCUCCCAGGCGACGACGGGUAGCCGACCUGAGAGGGUGACCGGCCACACUGGGACUGAGACACGGCCCAGACUCCUACGGGAGGCAGCAGUGGGGAAUAUUGCACAAUGGGCGCAAGCCUGAUGCAGCGACGCCGCGUGCGGGAUGACGGCCUUCGGGUUGUAAACCUCUUUUAGCAGGGAAGAAGCGAAAGUGACGGUACCUGCAGAAAAAGCGGCGGCUAACUACGUGCCAGCAGCCGCGGCCG